rnacentral:rRNA from 1 species
AUACGAAGGUCCCAAGCGUUGUUCGGAAUCACUGGGCGUAAAGGGAGCGUAGGCGGCGUGGUAAGUCAGAUGUGAAAUCCCGGGGCUCAACCCCGGAACUGCAUCCGAUACUGCCAUGCUAGAGGAUUGGAGAGGUAGCUGGAAUUCUUGGUGUAGCAGUGAAAUGCGUAGAGAUCAAGAGGAACACUCGUGGCGAAAGCGAGCUACUGGACAAUUCCUGACGCUGAGGCUCGAAGGCUAGGGUAGCGAAAGGGAUUAGAUACCCCUGUAGUCCUAGCAGUAAACGGUGCACGCUUGGUGUGAGGGGAAUCGACCCCCCUUGUGCCGGAGCUAACGCGUUAAGCGUGCCGCCUGGGAAGUACGGUCGCAAGACUAAAACUCAAAUGAAUUGGCGGGG